rnacentral:rRNA from 1 species
GAUGAACGCUGGCGGCGUGCCUAAUACAUGCAAGUCGAGCGAACAGACGAGGAGCUUGCUCCUCUGACGUUAGCGGCGGACGGGUGAGUAACACGUGGAUAACCUACCUAUAAGACUGGGAUAACUUCGGGAAACCGGAGCUAAUACCGGAUAAUAUAUUGAACCGCAUGGUUCAAUAGUGAAAGACGGUUUUGCUGUCACUUAUAGAUGGAUCCGCGCCGCAUUAGCUAGUUGGUAAGGUAACGGCUUACCAAGGCAACGAUGCGUAGCCGACCUGAGAGGGUGAACGGCCACACUGGAACUGAGACACGGUCCCGACUCCUACGGGAGGCAGCAGGAGGGAAUCUUUCACAAUGGGCGAAAGCUUUAACGAGGCAACCCGCGUGGGUGAAGAAGGGCUUCGGGUUGUAAAACCCCUUUAAUAGGGAAGAAAAAAAUGUGAAGGAAACAAUGCCGUUCUGACGGUACCUAAUCAGAAAGCCACGGCUAACUACGUG